rnacentral:lncRNA from 1 species
AUGUCCUUGGAUUCUGUCCUAACCUGUUUCUCAACCGACCAGUGCAGCUCACCAGUGACUUUUCUGGUGGUUUCUGUUUCAGAGCACAGAUGUCUGCCAGUCCCCAGACACGCCCGGAAUGAGGCUCCCACGGGCUGCACAGCCCCAGGCCCUGGCCACGCUGCCAUUGCCUUACCCCCUUCACCCUUUCUCCAGAUACAUCUCUUCAUGGAAGGUGGCACCUGUGCACCAAGGUCGAGCCUGGUCACUGCUCCGGCAGCCCCAGGAGCCGCUGGAUUCACCCACAAGGCAUGGGAACUUUGGGGCUGCGGCUGCCUUGAGAGAACCGGACACACACUGGAAAAGGCAUAUGAGCGCAGUCCGGAAAUGUAAACACGAAGCUGACCCAGAGAGAGAUUGGAGUCAAUGUAUUUUCUUUUUGAGAUAAGGCUAUGCUCCUACAAACAACCUUGGACUUCAUUUGGUUAAGAAAAAAGAUGGAACGUGGCNNNNNNNNNNNNNNNNNNNNNNNNNNNNNNNNNUGGGUUUUCUGUUAGGUUCUUCGUGUGUUUUUAUGUUCUUCUGGAAUGCCUAAAGUCUUUUUGUUUACUUUCCAAAAUGAAGGAAGUUGAGGGGGCAGUAGGUGAGGGAGGGUGCAGGAUUCUUACUCCUCACGAAAGUCAACCCAGAGUCACCUAGGCCUGCUUCUCUUCGCACUGGUCAUGCGGGCUGCCAGUUACCUGUGCUCACGCCUGCCUCCCCUGGACUGGGGACUCCGCGAGAGCAAGGGCGUGUCCUUGAAAGCUCGCCUGAAGGUCUCCACACCCAGCUUACUACCUAGCUCAGAGCCGGUGCUCAAAACGUAUCUAUUGAAUGAUUCUAAGACACUUCUAGAUAUUUUUUAAAUAAUAUUUUUUAUUAUGUUAGUCACCAUACAGUACUUCCCUAGUUUUUGAUGUAAAGUUCCAUGAUUCAUUACUUGCGUAUAACACCCAGUGCACCAUGCAAGACACUUCUGGAUAUUAAUCAGGAAUGUUAAAAUCUCCAUUAUUUGGACUCCUAUCGCAAAGGAA